GUCGAGCGGGGGAAGGUAGCUUGCUACCUAACCUAGCGGCGGACGGGUGAGUAAUGCUUAGGAAUCUGCCCAUUAGUGGGGGACAACAUUCCGAAAGGAAUGCUAAUACCGCAUACGUCCUGCGGGAGAAAGCAGGGGAUCUUCGGACCUUGCGCUAAUAGAUGAGCCUAAGUCGGAUUAGCUAGUUGGUGGGGUAAAGGCCUACCAAGGCGACGAUCUGUAGCGGGUCUGAGAGGAUGAUCCGCCACACUGGGACUGAGACACGGCCCAGACUCCUACGGGAGGCAGCAGUGGGGAAUAUUGGACAAUGGGGGGAACCCUGAUCCAGCCAUGCCGCGUGUGUGAAGAAGGCCUUUUGGUUGUAAAGCACUUUAAGCGAGGAGGAGGCUACCGAGAUUAAUACUCUUGGAUAGUGGACGUUACUCGCAGAAUAAGCACCGGCUAACUCUGUGCCAGCAGCCGCGGUAAUACAGAGGGUGCAAGCGUUAAUCGGAUUUACUGGGCGUAAAGCGCGCGUAGGUGGCCAAUUAAGUCAAAUGUGAAAUCCCCGAGCUUAACUUGGGAAUUGCAUUCGAUACUGGUUGGCUAGAGUAUGGGAGAGGAUGGUAGAAUUCCAGGUGUAGCGGUGAAAUGCGUAGAGAUCUGGAGGAAUACCGAUGGCGAAGGCAGCCAUCUGGCCUAAUACUGACACUGAGGUGCGAAAGCAUGGGGAGCAAACAGGAUUAGAUACCCUGGUAGUCCAUGCCGUAAACGAUGUCUACUAGCCGUUGGGGCCUUUGAGGCUUUAGUGGCGCAGCUAACGCGAUAAGUAGACCGCCUGGGGAGUACGGUCGCAAGACUAAAACUCAAAUGAAUUGACGGGGGCCCGCACAAGCGGUGGAGCAUGUGG
rnacentral:rRNA from 1 species